rnacentral:rRNA from 2 species
GUCGAGCGCACAGGUUUACCUGUGAGCGGCAGACGGGUGAGUGACGCGUGGGAAUCUACCUUAAGCUGCGGGAUAACAGAGAGAAAUUUCUGCUAAUACCGCAUGUGCCCGGAAGGGGAAAGAUUUAUCGGCUUAAGAUGAGCCCGCGUUGGAUUAGCUAGUUGGUGGGGUAAAGGCCUACCAAGGCGUCGAUCCAUAGCUGGUCUGAGAGGAUGAUCAGCCACACUGGGACUGAGACACGGCCCAGACUCCUACGGGAGGCAGCAGUGGGGAAUAUUGGACAAUGGGCGCAAGCCUGAUCCAGCCAUGCCGCGUGAGUGAUGGAGGCCUUAGGGUUGUAAAGCUCUUUCACCGGGGAAGAUAAUGACGGUACCCGGAGAAGAAGCCCCGGCUAACUUCGUGCCAGCAGCCGCGGUAAUACGAAGGGGGCUAGCGUUGUUCGGAAUUACUGGGCGUAAAGAGCGCGUAGGCGGAAAAGUAAGUCAGGGGUGAAAUCCCGGGGCUCAACCCCGGAAUUGCCUUUGAUACUGUUUUUCUUGAGUGCAGAAGAGGUAAGUGGAAUUCCGAGUGUAGAGGUGAAAUUCGUAGAUAUUCGGAAGAACACCGGUGGCGAAGGCGGCUUACUGGUCUGCAACUGACGCUGAGGCGCGAAAGCGUGGGGAGCAGACAGGAUUAGAUACCCUGGUAGUCCACGCUGUAAACGAUGGAAGCCAGCUAUUGGGCAGUUUACUGCUCGGCAGCGCAGCUAACGCAUUAAGCUUCCCGCCU